UCAAGAAACUUCCACAAUGGGCGAAAGCCUGAUGGAGCGACGUCGCGUGAUGGACGAAGUGCUUCGGCACGUAAACAUCUUUUAUGUGGGAUGAAAUUAUUGACAGUACCACAUGAAUAAGGGGCUCCUAACUCUGUGCCAGCAGGAGCGGUAAUACAGAGGCCCCAAGCGUUAUCCGGAAUCACUGGGCGUAAAGGGUGUCGAGGCGGUUGUAUUAGUCGUUCGUAAAAUCUACGAGCUUAACUUGUAGGCGGCGAACGAAACGGUACGACUUGAGGUUUGGAGAGGUGCGUGGGAACUCACGGUGUAGGGGUGAAAUCCGUUGAUAUCGUGGGGAACACCAAAGGCGAAGGCAGCGCACUGGCCAAAAUCUGACGCUCACACACGAAAGCUAGGGUAGCGAAGAGGAUUAGAUACCCAUGUAGUCCCUGAGCGGGCUGGCAAGGCGCAU
rnacentral:rRNA from 1 species